GACGAACGCUGGCGGCGUGCUUACCACAUGCAAGUCGAACGAAGUGGCGAACGGGUGAGUAACGCGUAAUAAACCUGCCCUUCAGAGGGGGACAAUAGUUGGAAACGACUGCUACUACCGCAUACUGAAGGAGGGGAUUGCGUCUGAGUAGCUAGUGGGAGGGGGACCGGCCCACCAAGGAGAUGAUCAGUCGCCGGUCUGAGAGGAGUAACGGCCACAUGGUGACGGAGACACGGCCCAGACUCCUACGGGAGGCAGCAGUGGGGAAUCUUCCGCAAUGGACGGAAGUCUGACGGAGCAACGCCGCGUGAGUGAUGACGGCCUUCGGGUUGUAUAGCUCUGUUAAUCGGGACGCGGUACCGGAAUAGAAAGCCACGGCUAACUACGUGCCAGCCGCCGCGGUAAUAC
rnacentral:rRNA from 1 species